rnacentral:rRNA from 1 species
UCGGUGGUGGAUUAGUGGCGAACGGGUGAGUAACACGUGGGCAAUCUGCCCUGCACUCUGGGACAAGCCCUGGAAACGGGGUCUAAUACCGGAUAUGACACGGGAUCGCAUGGUCUCCGUGUGGAAAGCUCCGGCGGUGCAGGAUGAGCCCGCGGCCUAUCAGCUUGUUGGUGGGGUGAUGGCCUACCAAGGCGACGACGGGUAGCCGGCCUGAGAGGGCGACCGGCCACACUGGGACUGAGACACGGCCCAGACUCCUACGGGAGGCAGCAGUGGGGAAUAUUGCACAAUGGGCGCAAGCCUGAUGCAGCGACGCCGCGUGAGGGAUGACGGCCUUCGGGUUGUAAACCUCUUUCAGCAGGGAAGAAGCGCGAGUGACGGUACCUGCAGAAGAAGCACCGGCUAACUACGUGCCAGCAGCCGCGGUAAUACGUAGGGUGCGAGCGUUGUCCGGAAUUAUUGGGCGUAAAGAGCUCGUAGGCGGCUUGUCGCGUCGGAUGUGAAAGCCCGGGGCUUAACCCCGGGUCUGCAUUCGAUACGGGCAGGCUAGAGUUCGGCAGGGGAGAUUGGAAUUCCUGGUGUAGCGGUGAAAUGCGCAGAUAUCAGGAGGAACACCGGUGGCGAAGGCGGAUCUCUGGGCCGAUACUGACGCUGAGGAGCGAAAGCGUGGGGAGCGAACA